GUCUCUCCUCUGUGGCAUCUAUUACGCCCUCUGUGUGACAAAGAUUGGUUUGUUUACCUGUGCCUUUCAUUCCUGGCUCACCUGUUCUUGUUACUGUGCCAACUACAUAAUGCAUGUUCAAUGAAUUGAUAAAGAAAUGAAUAUCUCAAAGUUAAUGGAGGAAAGCAACAGUGAGAAGUUGAAAUAUGGGGAGUAGCACUGAGGCUGAAAGAGGAAGCUAAAGUCUAAGAAAAAAGAAGAAGAAGAAAAAAAGAGACCCUUGAGGAAGCUGUGAGAGAAGAAAAGAACUGGAAACAGGACUGUGAAAGCCGGAGGCACAGGGACAGAGGCCUGAGGAACCGGGAGUUGGAACGAAAAGGAAUCCUACCUGCCUCUGUCUGCUCGUGGAAGGGAGGCCAUCUGCCUGGAAUAACUGCAGCUAUCCACCCUCUGGCUGGAGAAGGAGUAAGGCUCAGUGCAGUCAGACCUGAGGGACAGGCAGAAGCACACGUUCCUCCGGAAGAGCCCAGCAGCCUGCCUGAGAGGUCCACAGGCUUUUAAUAUUGGAGCUUGGGAGGCACAGCUGGAAUGGUGCUAGCUGGGCGCCAUGACUUGAAUAGCCCUGCCUCAGAUUCCCUUGGCCCUCGAAUGGGACCCAGCCUCCAUCAUGAGCAAUAAGGCGCCUCCCUGUGUGUGUCAGCCUAGUGAUCCAGCCUGGUCAUAUAGGAGUUCACACCAUUGUCCGCGUCCAGUUUGGAGGCUGGGAGCCCAGGUCUAGAGCGAGGAACUCGCUCUCAGAAAGUAUUGAAGCAUUCCUACUGUUUUCACGGUUUGGAAAUACAUGUAUUUAUUUCUCUCACUACAAAAAUAAUGCAUAUUUAUACUAAGAACUUUGGAAAGUACUGGAAAGUAAAAAGAAGACAAAUGUCAUCCCAGUUCAGACAAAACUACUACUACUAAUUUGAUAGCUCUUUCUGUAUAUAUAUAUGGAACAUAUAUAUGGAAUAUAUACAUAUAUAUUCAUUAUUUAAUUUAUCAAAAUAUACUUGCGUGUGGGGCUGGCCCUGUGGCUGAGUGGUUAAGUUCGUGCGCUCCGCUGCAGGUGGCCCAGUGUUUCGUUGGUUCGAAUGCUGGGCGUGGACAUGGCACUGCUCAUCAAACCACGCUGAGGCAGCGUCCCACAUGCCACAACUAGAAGGACCCACAACGAAGAAUAUGCAACUACGUACGGGGGGCUUUGGGGAGAAAAAGGAAAAAAUAAAAUCUUUAAAAAAAAAAAAAUACUUGCGUGU
rnacentral:lncRNA from 1 species